rnacentral:rRNA from 1 species
UAGGGAAUCUUCGGCAAUGGACGGAAGUCUGACCGAGCAACGCCGCGUGAGUGAAGAAGGUUUUCGGAUCGUAAAGCUCUGUUGUUAGAGAAGAACGUUGGUAGGAGUGGAAAAUCUACCAAGUGACGGUAACUAACCAGAAAGGGACGGCUAACUACGUGCCAGCAGCCGCGGUAAUACGUAGGUCCCGAGCGUUGUCCGGAUUUAUUGGGCGUAAAGCGAGCGCAGGCGGUUCUUUAAGUCUGAAGUUAAAGGCAGUGGCUUAACCAUUGUACGCUUUGGAAACUGGAGGACUUGAGUGCAGAAGGGGAGAGUGGAAUUCCAUGUGUAGCAGUGAAAUGCGUAGAUAUAUGGAGGAACACCGGUGGCGAAAGCGGCUCUCUGGUCUGUAACUGACGCUGAGGCUCGAAAGCGUGGGGAGCAAACAGG